UAAUUCCAGAGAAGAGACAGGCUGAAUCUGCCAGGAUCAGGGAGAAGUACCCAGAUAGAAUUCCGGUAAUCGUCGAGAAGGCGGAGAGAAGUGACAUUCCUAACAUCGACAAGAAAAAGUAAAAUUCAAUUAAAAUCGGUCGUAAUUCCUGGAUUGAUUAUUAAUAAAAACACAUCGAUCGCAGGUAUCUGGUUCCGGCAGACUUAACCGUCGGACAAUUCGUUUACGUGGUUCGAAAGAGAAUAAAACUUAGUGCGGAAAAAGCAAUUUUCAUAUUUGUAGAAAAUGUUCUUCCACCAACAGGCACUCUCAUGGCCACCAUUUACGACGACAAGAAAGACGAGGAUGGAUUUCUCUACGUGACUUACAGCGGAGAGAACACAUUUGGAAGCUGCUUUUAACUCGAUCGAUGGAUCGAAUGUAAAUAUAUAUAAUAAAAAUCGAUCCUGAAUUCGUGUAUAUAUAUGCAAAGGCGUUUCUGUAAUUACCAUCAUCCUUUGUUUGUCCGGUGCCGGAAUUAAUUAAUCAGGGAAGAACCGGCACGCUUUGUUCAUUUUAAUCUCUGUAUAUGUAACAAUAUUCUACCAAUUUCAAUCAUCAUGAAAUAUUUUGAUUUAUUUCCAUCGUCGGUAGACAUUGUCAAGGGUAUUCAAACUAACCCCAUAAGGCUCAUUAAAUGAAAUAAGGAUAUUAAAGGGUGGG
rnacentral:lncRNA from 1 species